rnacentral:rRNA from 1 species
AGUGGGGGAUAGCUCGGCGAAAGCCGGAUUAAUACCGCAUAUGCCCUGAGGGGGAAAGCGGGGGAUCGUAAGACCUCGCGCUUUCGGAGUGGCCGAUAUCGGAUUAGCUAGUUGGUGGGGUAAAGGCUUACCAAGGCGACGAUCCGUAGCUGGUUUGAGAGAACGACCAGCCACACUGGAACUGAGACACGGUCCAGACUCCUACGGGAGGCAGCAGUGGGGAAUUUUGGACAAUGGGGGCAACCCUGAUCCAGCCAUGCCGCGUGAGUGAAGAAGGCCUUCGGGUUGUAAAGCUCUUUCGUGAGGAAAGAAACGGUCACGGCGAAUACCCGUGACUAAUGACGGUACCUCAAGAAGAAGCACCGGCUAACUACGUGCCAGCAGCCGCGGUAAUACGUAGGGUGCGAGCGUUAAUCGGAAUUACUGGGCGUAAAGCGUGCGCAGGCGGUUUUGUAAGACAGACGUGAAAUCCCCGGGCUUAACCUGGGAACUGCGUUUGUGACUGCAAGACUAGAGUGCGGCAGAGGGGGGUAGAAUUCCA